GUUUUUGCAUGUGUGCAUGGCAUGUUGGGAAUUAAAGAGAUGCUCCAUUUUACAAAACGAAACAAAGCAAUCAGAGUUUUCAAAAAUCUGCACCUUAGAAGUUUGCGUGUGGACGAGACGCCAAAACAUAGAGGAAAAUAUCUAAAAAUAUCUGAAUACAUUCAGACAGGGUUUGAGGCAAAAUGUGUAAAACGCUAUGGAGCUAGAACAGUGGCAGUAAGUUUUGGCAUUGAAUUAAAAAAAAAUGCCAGUAAAAAAUUAAACAGGUUGAAAUAAGUUCCACUGAAAGAUAACGUCCUGUAUGUUGGUGAGCCGAAGACAAUUUUCCACCCUGGUGGACAAUAAAGAUUUAUUCUAUUCUAUUCUAAAACACAGGAAUUAAAAAUUAUUUUAUUUUCAUAUUUUUUGGCAUUUUUUUUCUUUGCGUCACUAUUUUUUCAGUCUUUUUUUUUUUUUUACUUACAGUAUUUUUAUAUUUAUUAAGAUUUAUUAUUUAUUUUUUCAGUUUUAACUUUCUGUCACUGUGUUGGCGUGGAGAGGAGGAGUUUGUGGGGAGGGGGAAAGGAAAUCUUGAUUUACAUAGAAUCUGCACACUGAGGAGAGGACGUCUCUUCUUGGCAGUCCUUCAAGAGUGACAUGUUGAAAAAAUCUGAAGCCUGAAAACUCAUCAGAAUUUUCUAAUAAAUAAAUGAAUUUUUAAUUCCUGUUUCAUUUUUCAGUUAAUUUUUUGUCAGUGCUAAUUUUUUAUUUAACUGUUCUGGCUCCAGAAAACCAUCAUGGAGAUUGUUAAUGUAGCUUGUAGUGUGUGUGUGAUGACAAUAAUACAAAAAAUUAAACUGAACAGCUUUUGUCUGUUGGCCUUUUUUUGCUUUUAAUUCUCAAGUUGAUCAACUUGAACACAUUUAUCAGAUCAUUAUUUUCAUGUCCCAACAGGACAGCAGUUAAAAACAACACGUACAACAGUGAAACAAUCUCUUUAGAGCAACAGAAACCCAUAUGAAACAACUCCGAGCACACU